rnacentral:rRNA from 1 species
UACGAACUGUGCAAACGUUAUUCGGAAUCACUGGGCUUAAAGGGUGCGUAGGCGGUCCGUUAAGUCGGAUGUGAAAGCCCCCGGCUCAACCGGGGAAGUGCAUCCGAAACUGGCGGGCUAGAGUACGAAAGAGGGUCGCGGAAUUCCCGGUGUAGAGGUGAAAUUCGUAGAUAUCGGGAGGAACACCGGUGGCGAAGGCGGCGACCUGGGUCGAUACUGACGCUGAGGUGCGAAAGCGUGGGGAGCAAACAGG